GCGGCCAAGAGCUCCUUCACACGUGCAGACAAAGAGACCCAACAACACAACCAAAAUAUGCACUUCCAAACUUUUUGCAUCCCGAUAUCUUCGCUGGGAAACUGUGAAAAAUGCAGUGCUUGGACGCAGAGGCCACACUCACUCCGCCUCACCACAAAAAUGGAAUGCUCAUAUUUUGGAAGGAAAUCGCCUUUGGAUGGAUUUCGGGGAUUUACCAGUGACAUUUUGGCAAAGAGACUCUAUUUUCUGUCCUCUGGAAUACUGCUGCGCAGCGACAUUUUGGAUUACGCUCUCCUUCAGAAAAUGGAUUAUCAUCAUCAAGGGAUUGAAGUGACACCUCAAUCUGCCGAGAAUGCAGUGCCCUGUUGGAUGGAGAGACCAGGAGGGAGCGAAAGGGAAGAAGGGGUGGAGCCAUGAGGU